AACGCACAUUGCGCCCGCCAGUAUUCUGGCGGGCAUGCCUGUUCGAGCGUCAUUUCAACCCUCAAGCUCAGCUUGGUGUUGGGACUCGCGGUAACCCGCGUUCCCCAAAUCGAUUGGCGGUCACGUCGAACUUCCAUAGCGUAGUAAUCAUAAACCUCUUUACUAGUACUCAUCGCGGCAACGCAGUAAAACCCCAACUUCUGAAUGUUGAACUCGGAUCAGGUAGGAAUACCCGCUGAACUUA
rnacentral:misc_RNA from 1 species